UAGGAGUCUCAAGUGCAGAUAUACAGCUAGAACCAUUGGUACACAAGAUCUUGUGGUUCUAGCUGUAUAUAUGCGCUUGAGACUCCUAUAUCUAUUUCG